CACUUUUGCAUUGAAGUUACUUUCUUACUUAUACCUACGUGGCAGAAAACACGGACGCCGGAAGAGCGUUCCAAACCGUAAUCGCGGUUCGUAUCAGGAACGUUGAGCAAAACC